rnacentral:tRNA from 1 species
UAAUGUGUAGUUUAAUUAAAACAUGAGCUUUGUAAGUUUUUAUUGUAAAUA